rnacentral:rRNA from 2 species
UACGUAGGGGGCAAGCGUUGUCCGGAGUUACUGGGCGUAAAGCGUCCGCAGGCGGUCAAUCAAGUUCGCGGUGACAGUCUCCAGCUCAACUGGAGAAGGCCCGUGAAGACUGGUUGACUUGAGGGCUUCAGAGGGACAUGGAAUUCCGGGUGGAGUGGUGAAAUGCGUAGAGAUCCGGAGGAACACCAAAGGCGCAGGCAGUGUCCUGGGAAGUACCUGACGCUCAGGGACGAAAGCUAGGGGAGCGAACGGG